GCACCCAGAGUCAUGGACGCUGAGACCAGGAAGCUGCAAACAUGGCCUGUGCCCAGGGAGGACUCAGCUGAAGAAGACUUCUGAGCCAAGACUCUGAGAAUGAAGAGAAUUUGCAGCAUCAAGAAGAUGAAUGAAAGAACCCAGGCCUGAUUGCAGUCCAGCCAAGGGUCAUGCAAUUAAUUAGCAGUCACCUGUGACCACUUGUGAUUCAUUUGACUUUACAGUCCCUAGCUCAAGAUUUUCUACCAUCUUUAUACCCACUUCUCUGCAGGACCUAUGCUGAAGAUCAGCACAACUGUUUGAAAAGGAAAUUGAAGUGAAAGAGAUCCUGAGCUGCUAACUGCUCUGAAUGGACUCAAGUGACUUGGCCUAAAACGUGUGUUUGUUUACAUUUGCAUUGCCCAGUGCUCAGCGUGGGUGCCACCGUCAGCAGGUACUCCGUUCGCAUUAGCUGCCUGCAGGCAUGAAUGCUUGAAGAGCCAGAAGACUGGAGACAGGAAGUGUUUUUUUCCAUAAGUGGGUGAAGAGGGAUUCUUCAAACAAUACAGCCCUGAACUUGGCAUUGAUCUAGGCUUCUGCUGGGCUUGUACUCUGACACCUCUCCCCAUCCUGCAAGCAUCUUUCAAGGUCAUCUCGGCUUCUUUCCUCUCCUCCAUCCCUAUAUCAAAUUUGUUUCCAA